rnacentral:lncRNA from 1 species
GGGUUGAUAAAUUAAGAUCAUCAAGGAGUAUAUAUACUUUAAUCUAAAAAAUUGCAGAUAAUCACAAUUAAUUAUCAACAUUUGCAAUAAUCAGCAGUAAGUAUAUAUAUAUAUAUAUAUAUAUAUAUAUGUAGCUGUAUAUGCAAUGGAUGGUAACAAAUUUUUCUUCAUUAAAAGUGUAACUUACAUUGAACAUUAUUCAAAUUUUGGGUUAAUUCCUACAAAGCAUAUAUAUCUGGAAACAUUUGGGUUUUCCUUCUUAGAGCUCUGAUCUCUGCUGAGGAAGGAAGCUUUCAUUCUCUAACAUUUGACACAUCGAGAUCACUUACUAAACCCAUUUUGUUUGAAAUGAGAGGCACUGGGAAGCAGCAGUCUUGUGGCAACCAUGAAACUCCUUUGUUGCUCCAUUGAGACUCCAACACUACCAGGAACAGAUAGAUGAAAGCAAGAAGAGAGAUUGCAAAAGAGAGAUACAUCUCUCCUUUGAAAGAAGUAAUAGCUGGAACUGAUGAAACAUUCAUUGUUUCUUUGAGAGAGUUGGAUGUAUCAAAGAUGAGAUGAGAAGAGAAGAGGGUGUGGUGGAGUUUUUAAAUAGGGAAAAGAUGGUAUGCAUAAAUCAAAUUCAAUGAAUGAUUAGUUAAGAGAGAAUGUGAGAGGAGCAGAAAAAAUCUCCGACAGAGAGGCUUGAAAGGUAUGGGUAAUGGGGAGGAGGG